AACGAACGCUGGCGGCAGGCUUAACACAUGCAAGUCGAACGGGUGUAGCAAUACAUCAGUGGCAGACGGGUGAGUAACACGUGGGAACCUUCCUAGGGGUACGGAACAACUCAGGGAAACUUGAGCUAAUACCGUAUACGUCCGUAAGGAGAAAGAUUCAUCGCCCCUAGACGGGCCCGCGUCGGAUUAGGUAGUUGGUGGGGUAACGGCCUACCAAGCCUACGAUCCGUAGCUGAUCUGAGAGGANGAUCAGCCACACUGGACUGAGACACGGCCCAGACUCCUACGGGAGGCAGCAGUGGGAAUCUUGGACAAUGGGCGCAAGCCUGAUCCAGCCAUGCCGCGUGAGUGAAGAAGGCCUUAGGGUUGUAAAGCUCUUUUACCAGGGACGAUAAUGACGGUA
rnacentral:rRNA from 1 species